rnacentral:rRNA from 1 species
AACGAACGCUGGCGGCAUGCCUAACACAUGCAAGUCGAACGAGACCUUCGGGUCUAGUGGCGCACGGGUGCGUAACGCGUGGGAACCUGCCUUUAGGUUCGGAAUAACUCAGAGAAAUUUGAGCUAAUACCGGAUGAUGUCUUCGGACCAAAGAUUUAUCGCCUUUAGAUGGGCCCGCGUAAGAUUAGCUAGUUGGUGGGUAAAGGCCUACCAAGGCGACGAUCUUUAGCUGGUCUGAGAGGAUGAUCAGCCACACUGGGACUGAGACACGGCCCAGACUCCUACGGGAGGCAGCAGUGGGAAUAUUGGACAAUGGGCGAAAGCCUGAUCCAGCAAUGCCGCGUGAGUGAUGAAGCCUUAGGUUGUAAAGCUCUUUUACCCGAGAUGAUAAUGAC